UGGGGAAUAUUGCACAAUGGGCGCAAGCCUGAUGCAGCCAUGCCGCGUGUAUGAAGAAGGCCUUCGGGUUGUAAAGUACUUUCAGCGGGGAGGAAGGGAGUAAAGUUAAUACCUUUGCUCAUUGACGUUACCCGCAGAAGAAGCACCGGCUAACUCCGUGCCAGCAGCCGCGGUAAUACGGAGGGUGCAAGCGUUAAUCGGAAUUACUGGGCGUAAAGCGCACGCAGGCGGUUUGUUAAGUCAGAUGUGAAAUCCUCGGGCUCAACCUGGGAACUGCAUCUGAUACUGGCACGCUUGAGUCUCGUAGAGGGGGGUAGAAUUCCAGGUGUAGCGGUGAAAUGCGUAGAGAUCUGGAGGAAUACCGGUGGCGAAGGCGGCCCCCUGGACGAAGACUGACGCUCAGGUGCGAAAGCGUGGGGAGCAAACAGG
rnacentral:rRNA from 1 species